GUCUAUGGCCAUGCUACCCUGAACAAGCCCAGUCCCGUCUGAUCUCAGAAGCUAAGCAAGGUCAGGCCUGCUUAGUACUUAGAUGGGAGACCACCUAGGAAGACCAGGUGCUGUAGGUG
rnacentral:rRNA from 1 species